AGUGAACGCUGGCGGUAGGCCUAACACAUGCAAGUCGAACGGCAGCACAGAGGAGCUUGCUCCUUGGGCGGCGAGUGGCGGACGGGUGAGGAAUACAUCGGAAUCUACUCUGUCGUGAGGGAUAACGUAGGGAAACUUACGCUAAUACCGCAUACGACCUACGGGUGAAAGCAGGGGAUCUUCGGACCUUGCGCGAAUGAAUGAGCCGAGGUCGGAUUAGCUAGUUGGCGGGGUAAAGGCCCACCAAGGCGACGAUCCGUAGCUGGCCUGAGAGGAUGAUCAGCCACACUGGAACUGAGACACGGUCCAGACUCCUACGGGAGGCAGCAGUGGGGAAUAUUGGACAAUGGGCGCAAGCCUGAUCCAGCCAUACCGCGUGGGUGAAGAAGGCCUUCGGGUUGUAAAGCCCUUUUGUUGGGAAAGAAAUCCAUCUGGUUAAUACCCGGAUGGGAUGACGGUACCCAAAGAAUAAGCACCGGCUAACUUCGUGCCAGCCGCCGCCGUAA
rnacentral:rRNA from 1 species